CGUACGCACUGGCCCACUGAUUGAUGGUGCUUGCACCUGAUUGACGAUGGAUCACCAGUGAGUGGCGGACGGGUGAGUAACACGUAGGUAACCUGCCCCGGAGCGGGGGAUAACAUUUGGAAACAGAUGCUAAUACCGCAUAACAACGAAAGCCACAUGGCUUUUGUUUGAAAGAUGGCUUUGGCUAUCACUCUGGGAUGGACCUGCGGUGCAUUAGCUAGUUGGUAAGGUAACGGCUUACCAAGGCGAUGAUGCAUAGCCGAGUUGAGAGACUGAUCGGCCACAAUGGAACUGAGACACGGUCCAUACUCCUACGGGAGGCAGCAGUAGGGAAUCUUCCACAAUGGGCGCAAGCCUGAUGGAGCAACACCGCGUGAGUGAAGAAGGGUUUCGGCUCGUAAAGCUCUGUUGUUGGAGAAGAACGUGCGUGAGAGUAACUGUUCACGCAGUGACGGUAUCCAACCAGAAAGUCACGGCUAACUACGUGCCAGCAGCCGCGGUAAUACGUAGGUGGCAAGCGUUAUCCGGAUUUAUUGGGCGUAAAGCGAGCGCAGGCGGUUGCUUAGGUCUGAUGUGAAAGCCUUCGGCUUAACCGAAGAAGUGCAUCGGAAACCGGGCGACUUGAGUGCAGAAGAGGACAGUGG
rnacentral:rRNA from 1 species